rnacentral:lncRNA from 1 species
CCGGUGUUUGUCUUGUAAUCUGUCAGCCUGAUCUGUCUCAACUAAAUGUCAAUCUGAUUUGUCUUGGAGUAGAAUAAUUAAAAAGGUUACGGGACACUUGAUUAUUUAAACUAAGUUUAAAUUAUAGAGAAAAUAAAUUUAAAAAUAAGUUUUAAAAGAUGAAAGAAAAUAAAGUAUAAAAUAAGCUUAGUCAAAUCUAUAAAAUAAAUUUAAUUAUAUUUAAAAAAUAAAUUCAAAUAAAU